AUUGAACGCUGGCGGAAUGCUUUACACAUGCAAGUCGAACGGCAGCACGGGGGCAACCCUGGUGGCGAGUGGCGAACGGGUGAGUAAUACAUCGGAACGUGCCCAAUCUGGGGGAUAACGUAGCGAAAGCUACGCUAAUACCGCAUACGAUCUACGGAUGAAAGCGGGGGAUCGCAAGACCUCGCGCGAAUGGGAGCGGCCGAUGGCAGAUUAGGUAGUUGGUGGGGUAAAGGCUCACCAAGCCGACGAUCUGUAGCUGGUCUGAGAGGACGACCAGCCACACUGGGACUGAGACACGGCCCAGACUCCUACGGGAGGCAGCAGUGGGGAAUUUUGGACAAUGGGCGCAAGCCUGAUCCAGCCAUUCCGCGUGCAGG
rnacentral:rRNA from 1 species